rnacentral:rRNA from 1 species
AGUGAACGCUGGCGGUAGGCCUAACACAUGCAAGUCGAACGGCAGCACAGUAAGAGCUUGCUCUUACGGGUGGCGAGUGGCGGACGGGUGAGGAAUACAUCGGAAUCUACUUUUUCGUGGGGGAUAACGUAGGGAAACUUACGCUAAUACCGCAUCCGACCUACGGGUGAAAGCAGGGGAUCUUCGGACCUUGCGCGAUUGAAUGAGCCGAUGUCGGAUUAGCUAGUUGGCGGGGUAAAGGCCCACCAAGGCGACGAUCCGUAGCUGGUCUGAGAGGAUGAUCAGCCACACUGGAACUGAGACACGGUCCAGACUCCUACGGGAGGCAGCAGUGGGGAAUAUUGGACAAUGGGCGCAAGCCUGAUCCAGCCAUACCGCGUGGGUGAAGAAGGCCUUCGGGUUGUAAAGCCCUUUUGUUGGGAAAGAAAAGCAGCAGGUUAAUACCCCGCUGUUCUGACGGUACCCAAAGAAUAAGCACCGGCUAACUUCGU